AGGGUGCGCGGCUUCUGCUGGCUUUUCUACGAGGUGGGCAAAUUCCCCCUCCUCGUAAAAAAGCCUGCAGGAUGCCGCACACCCU